rnacentral:rRNA from 1 species
UGGCGACGGGUGAGUAAUGUCUGGGGAAACUGCCUGAUGGAGGGGGAUAACUACUGGAAACGGUAGCUAAUACCGCAUAACGUCGCAAGACCAAAGAGGGGGACCUUCGGGCCUCUUGCCAUCGGAUGUGCCCAGAUGGGAUUAGCUAGUAGGUGGGGUAACGGCUCACCUAGGCGACGAUCCCUAGCUGGUCUGAGAGGAUGACCAGCCACACUGGAACUGAGACACGGUCCAG